rnacentral:rRNA from 1 species
CUAUAAUGGAGAGUUUGAUCCUGGCUCAGGACGAACGCUGGCGGCGUGCCUAAUACAUGCAAGUCGAGCGGAACCUUAGGAGCUUGCUCCUUUGGUUUAGCGGCGGACGGGUGAGUAACACGUGGGCAACCUGCCCUGCAGAUCGGGAUAACUCCGGGAAACCGGUGCUAAUACCGAAUAGUUUGCGGCCUCUCAUGAGGCUGUA